UCCGGUUUGUCACCGGCAGUCUCCUUAAAGUUCCCACCCGAAGUGCUGGCAAUUAAGGACAAGGGUUGCGCUCGUUACGGGACUUAACCCAACAUUUCACAACACGAGCUGACGACAGCCAUGCAGCACCUGUCUCAGCGCUCCCGAAGGCACCCCCGCAUCUCUGCAGGGUUCGCUGGAUGUCAAGGCCAGGUAAGGUUCUUCGCGUUGCGUCGAAUUAAACCACAUGCUCCACCGCUUGUGCGGGCCCCCGUCAAUUCAUUUGAGUUUUAACCUUGCGGCCGUACUCCCCAGGCGGAGAACUUAUCGCGUUAGCUGCGCCACUAAGGUAUCAAGUACCCCAACGGCUAGUUCUCAUCGUUUACGGCGUGGACUAC
rnacentral:misc_RNA from 1 species